GGGGGGGGGGCAUUCAGGGCUGUCAUCCCUGGAGAAUAAUGAGAAAGUUAAACCCCCUCCCAAUGGCUGGGAAUCACAGAAACUGUUAUUAUCCCUCUCAAUCUCUCUCCUUCUCUCCCUAUCCCUCCCUUCCUCUCUCUCCCUCCCUCUCUCCUUCUCUCCCUAUCCCUCCCUCCCUCUCUCUCUCUCCUUCCCUCCCUCUCUCUCCCUUUCCCUUCCUCUCUCUCUCUCCCUCACACACAAACACAGACACACGCACAUAAACAGGCACACAAAGAAGUUAGGUGUGCCCCCUCCACUGUGACACAUCAAAUCACAACCGUAUUUAAAUAAUCCAGUAAAUUAAAUCUUUGUAUUUGAAGCUUAAAAUUAAAAUAAUCACAAGAUGUCAAUCACAGUUGUCACUCAGGCAAGAAGGCUCUGCCUUUAAGCCCAGGACAAGUCACAACUACGACCAUAUUCUGCUGAUUUUGUACUUUGCUGCUGCCAUUGAGUGAGGUUUCCGAGUGGUGGAUAUGCGGGCAUCCUGUGGUCAAUAUUUCAGUUAAAGGAUUCAACAUGUACAAGAUAAACCAAAGUUUCUGCUUCGUCAGAUGGCUGAGGAAAGUUGGGAUGAUAUGACCAUCACCAACCUCAACAGAUGCAUGACGAACUCUGUCCGCACUGGAUGCAUUACAUCAUGAUGAGGAAACUGCACAGAGAUCACAGCAGAAGGUGGUGCAGGCUUCUCAAACCAUCACCAGGACAGGGUCACCUCCCACUGCCCUUGAAGACCAGGUGACCUUAAUAAGGGCUGUGAUUCCCAGCUCAGCCAUUUUUUCCUGUUUCCCUGCUGGGAGACGGCAGGGUAAUAUCAGCAAUCGAAGCGCA